rnacentral:rRNA from 1 species
AUUGAACGCUGGCGGCAGGCCUAACACAUGCAAGUCGAGCGGAUGAAGGGAGCUUGCUCCUGGAUUCAGCGGCGGACGGGUGAGUAAUGCCUAGGAAUCUGCCUGGUAGUGGGGGAUAACGUCCGGAAACGGGCGCUAAUACCGCAUACGUCCUGAUGGAGAAAGUGGGGGAUCUUCGGACCUCACGCUAUCAGAUGAGCCUAGGUCGGAUUAGCUAGUUGGUGGGGUAAAGGCCUACCAAGGCGACGAUCCGUAACUGGUCUGAGAGGAUGAUCAGUCACACUGGAACUGAGACACGGUCCAGACUCCUACGGGAGGCAGCAGUGGGGAAUAUUGGACAAAGGGCGAAAGCCUGAUCCAGCCAUGCCGCGUGUGUGAAGAAGGACUUCGGAUUGUAAAGCACUUUAAGUUGGGAGGAAGGGCAGUAAGUUAAUACCUUGCUGUUUUGACGUUACCAACAGAAUAAGCACCGGCUAACUUCGUG